GGGAGAGGAAUGGAGAGCAGGGGAGAGAUAAGACUUUGCCUUCCAUCACGGUGAGGAGGAGACUCACUGUGAUGGAUGUUUGUGUGAAUUGUGUUGGUGUGUGUCUUGGUUCUUUUCUUGUAUGGCUGCAGAAACCAAAUUUCGUUUGAACCUCAUGUGAUGCAGCAGCAUAACCGGUCUGUAAACUCAAUACACAAUGAAGAAAAAUGCAAUAAUUCUGCUCCUAGAACUUAUAAACGUAUGAACUUAUGAAGACUGCAAGUGGAUGACGGAGUCUUCCUUCAAAUCUCAUCUUGUCUGAUAGGUUCUGGGAGAUUAGCUAGAGAGGUCUCCAUGAAAUUGUCUGUAAUCAUCCACUUCCAGAACUAAAAGGUACUCUCACUCCAAGAAGCAACAGGAAAGCUGAUGAAGUUUGAUAUUGAAAAAGUAAAUCUCCACCCCAAAGAUGGUAGUUAAUGGUUUUAUAGAACAUAGAAUCUAGAAAGAUAGAGGACAGAAACAGGCCCUUCGGCCCAAAAUGUCUGUGCCGAACAUGAUGUCAAUAUUACCGAUGAUACGAAUAUUUUUUGUUCCGGUGACAAAUUGAAGCAGGUUUUGGAGGUCAUCACAUCAGAAAUGAAUAAAUUAAACCAGUGGUUUGAUGUCAACAAAUUGUCUCUAAAUUUAAGCAAAACAAAGAUUAUGCUAUUUGGAAAACAUAGAACAAACCCUCUAGUACAAUUGAUAAUAGAUAACAUAAGUAUAGAAAGAGUAUAGGAAAAUAAAUUUCUUGGUGUGAUCUUAGACCACAAUAUCUGCUGGAAACCACAUAUAAACCAAAGCAAAACUGGCAAAGUCUAUAGCAAUAUUGGGAAAAUCAAGACACAUUCUGGACCACAAAUCAUUACAUACUCUGUAUAAUACACUCAUAUUGCCAUAUCUGUGUUACUGUGUGGAGAUAUGGGGUAACACCUACAAAACCAACUACAAAAAGCCGUUAUGCACAUUACAAAAAAGAGCAAUAAGGGUAAUCAAUAACGUUGGAUAUCUUGAACAUAUCAGUUUAUUAUUCUUAAAGUCACGUACACUGAAGUUCACCGAUCUGGUUAAAUUUAAGACUGCACAAACCAUGUACAAAGCAAGAAAUAAUUUACUUCCAGGAAAUAGACAAAAACUGUUUAUGGUAAGACAGGGCGGGUAUAAUUUGAGAGGGGAACAUAAUUUUUAAAAACUCAAUGUCAGAACAACUCUUAAAAGUAUGUGCAUAGCAAUCUGUGGGGUGAAUUUGUGGAAUGGUCUGGAGCAGGAGACAAAACUUAGCACAAGCAUAAUUCAGUUUAAAAAGAUGUACAAAAACACUUUUUUAAAAGGAUAUUGGGAUGAGGAGAGGUGAUUGUGAGCGGGAUAUUUGUUAACCUGAUUGUAUUGGGAAGGGUGAUUAUAGGGUGAUGGGUUGUGUAUAUGACUAAGAUACUGUAUAGUAUAUGAGGGCUUUUUCAUUUCUUUUUUCUUUUUUUCUCUCUUUUUUUGUAUGGCUUUGUAAAUAUUUAUUUAUUGUAACUAAAUAUUUAUUCAAAUCAUAUGCUAUGUCGCUCUUCCAGGGAGAUGCUAAAUGCAUUUUGUUGUCUCUGUACUGUACACUGACAAUGACAAUUAAAGUUGAAUCUGAAUCUGAAUCUGAAUCUGAAUCUGAUUAGUGUAUAAAUGUAAAUCAUUUGGUGUACAUAUAGCUGCUGGUGUACAUAUGGUGUACAUAUAGCUGCUGGUGUACAUGCAUGUACAUAUAGCUGCUGAAUUUGUAUAAGAUAAUUAUAAGCAGUUGAAUAAGGGGUGGGAAUUAAUAAGCUUUGGCUUCUUCCUGCUCCUUUUCGGACACAUACGGUUUCAUUUAUUUAUAGAUAUUGUUUAUGACACUUUAUAAAUUUUCUUGUUUGUUUUUUUAUUCAUUUU